rnacentral:rRNA from 1 species
CGGCGGACGGGUGAGUAAUGCCUAGGAAUCUGCCUGGUAGUGGGGGACAACGUUUCGAAAGGAACGCUAAUACCGCAUACGUCCUACGGAGAAGCAGGGACCUUCGGGCCUUGCGCUAUCAGAUGAGCCUAGGUCGGAUUAGCUAGUUGGUGAGGUAAUGGCUCACCAAGGCGACGAUCCGUAACUGGUCUGAGAGGAUGAUCAGUCACACUGGAACUGAGACACGGUCCAGACUCCUACGGGAGGCAGCAGCG